CCUAACAGUAGUAAUAAGCUACUCACUGAAGACUCUAGCAGCAUUUCCUCUCAGGUCCCUAUUGUACCUACUGAAGUAAUAAGUAAUGAAGAUAUAGCAGCAGAGGAAAUAACUAUAGAUAAAGACAGUUCUGAUGCAGCUGAAAUUAUAAGCUUGAGCAGUUGGCAGACGUGGAAUCCACAGCAGUUGAGGCAGCCGAAAAGUAUCGAGUUGACAGUUCCUGAACCAAAUAAUACUGAUUUAGAAGACACGAAUGAACAGGUGACAAAAACUAUUGGAGUAACCCCAUGCUGCUCUAAUGAUGUCAAAAAAAGGAGGAGGGUUAGUAAAGUGGAAUCCAUUGGUUCCAAAUUAAAAAAUAAAAGGGCAGUUCAUUUUGAAACACUUCAAGAGGAAUUACUGAAGAAAAAAAUUGCCCUUGUAGAGUUACAAACUCAGGUUCUGCAAGAAGAGAGGGA